AUAACUUCCCUCUAGACCUAGCCGCUAUCGAAGCUCCAUCUACAAAUGGAUAAAAUUGCGUUUUUCGUCUAGGGUUUACGAGUUAUUGAAAGUAAAGGGGCAGUGCUGAUUUCUUGUUCUGUCAAGAAAUUGGUUAUUGCUCCUUUACUAGUUAGGAAGAGUUUAUUUGUAAGUAAAUUAGGAAAGGGGCGGAUGUAGCCAAGUGGAUCAAGGCAGU
rnacentral:misc_RNA from 1 species